GGCCUCCCUUCAGAUUUCGGUGGCGGCACGGUCAACUAGUCAAACCA
rnacentral:sRNA from 1 species